rnacentral:lncRNA from 1 species
GCCUUAACCAACAAUGCAGUUUUAAGAAAAACAAGUGUUCAAAAAUUCUAAAUGAAACUAACAACUAAUUAAAGAGCAGCAGUAAAAUAACAGUAGCGAGACUAUAUACAGGGUGUUACGGUACAGAGUCAAUGUGGAGGCUAUAUACAGGGUGUUACGGUACAGAGUCAAUGUGGAGGCUAUAUACAGGGGGUACUGGUACAGAGUCAAUGUGGAGACUAUAUACAGGGGGGUACCAGUACAGAGUCAAUGUGGAGGCUAUAUACAGGGGGUACCGGUACAGAGUCAAUGUGGAGGCUAUAUACAGGGGGUACCGGU